GGAUAGCUUAGUUGGUUAGAGCAUGGUUCUGAUAAUGCCAAGCUUGCAGGUUCAAUUCCUGUACCAAGACCA